AACGAACGCUGGCGGCAGGCUUAACACAUGCAAGUCGAACGCCCCGCAAGGGGAGUGGCAGACGGGUGAGUAACGCGUGGGAAUCUACCGUACCCUACGGAACAACAGUUGGAAACGACUGCUAAUACCGUAUACGCCCUUAGGGGGAAAGAUUUAUCGGGGUAUGAUGAGCCCGCGUUGGAUUAGCUAGUUGGUGGGGUAAAGGCCUACCAAGGCGACGAUCCAUAGCUGGUCUGAGAGGAUGAUCAGCCACAUUGGGACUGAGACACGGCCCAAACUCCUACGGGAGGCAGCAGUGGGGAAUAUUGGACAAUGGGCGCAAGCCUGAUCCAGCCAUGCCGCGUGAGUGAUGGAGGUCUUAGGAUUGUAAAGCUCUUUCACCGGUGAAGAUAAUGACGGUAGUCGGAGAAGAAGCCCCGGCUAACUUCGUGCCAGCAGCCGCCGUAA
rnacentral:rRNA from 1 species